AUUGAACGCUGGCGGCAGGCCUAACACAUGCAAGUCGAGCGGAUGAAGGGAGCUUGCUCCUGGAUUCAGCGGCGGACGGGUGAGUAAUGCCUAGGAAUCUGCCUGGUAGUGGGGGAUAACGUCCGGAAACGGGCGCUAAUACCGCAUACGUCCUGAGGGAGAAAGUGGGGGAUCUUCGGACCUCACGCUAUCAGAUGAGCCUAGGUCGGAUUAGCUAGUUGGUGGGGUAAAGGCCUACCAAGGCGACGAUCCGUAACUGGUCUGAGAGGAUGAUCAGUCACACUGAAACUGAGACACGGUCCAGACUCCUACGGGAGGCAGAAGUGGGGAAUAUUGGACAAUGGGCGAAAGCCUGAUCCAGCCAUGCCGCGUGUGAGAAGAAGGUCUUCGGAUUGUAAAGCACUUUAAGUUGGGAGGAAGGGCAGUAAGUUAAUACCUUGCUGUUUUGACGUUACCAACAGAAUAAGCACCGGCUAACUUCG
rnacentral:rRNA from 1 species